UACGGGGGGGGUAAGCGUUGUUCGGAAUUACUGGGCGUAAAGGGCUCGUAGGCGGCCAACUAAGUCAUACGUGAAAUCCCUCAGCUUAACUGGGGAACUGCGUGUGAUACUGGAUGGCUUGGAUUUGGGAGAGGGAUGCGGAAUUCCAGGUGUAGCGGUGAAAUGCGUAGAUAUCUGGAGGAACACCGGUGGCGAAGGCGCCACUCUGGGCCGGUACUGACGCUGAGGAGCGAAAGCGUGGGUAGCAAACAGG
rnacentral:rRNA from 1 species